UACAGAGGGGGCAAGCGUUGUUCGGAAUUACUGGGCGUAAAGGGCUCGUAGGCGGCCAACUAAGUUCAGACGUGAAAUCCCCAGGCUCAACCUGGGAACUCGCGUCUGAUACUGAUUGGCUUGAAUCCGGGAGAGGGAUGCAGAAUUCCAGGUGUAGCGGGUGAAAUGCGUAGAUAUCUGGAAGGAAUACCGGUGGCGAAGGCGGCAUCCUGGACCGGCAUUGACGCUGAGGUGCGAAAGCGUGGGGAGCAAACAGG
rnacentral:rRNA from 1 species